CAGCAGUUUUCUGAUAAAAUGGUUCUUCAAAAUGGGCUUGGAUUUAACUCUCCAUAUCUACCUCUUGCCUCCUGUACUUUGGAAGGUUUGAAAACCACUGCCAGAACAAGAGUAUUUAUACAUGAAGAAAAAUACCUGCUAUUCAUUGAAUCACUCAGGAAACAGGAAAUAAAACAAUGACCAGGACCAGUGUCAUAGCUUCUUAGUGAUACAAAGUAAUCGUUACUGAGAUUUACCCAUCAUAAAUAGACCAUUAGGUGGGCAGACCCUGUUGAAAUGGAGGUGAAGAGCAACCGAGAGACAACUGCCACAGUUCCUGCAUGUACUACAGCCAUAGACUGCCGGGUGCGGAGAGGUUAAACACCUCUGAAAUUACCAGUCAGUUGGCAUUGGCAUAUAGUUGUAUGUCAGAGCUCUUAGCCAUGUCAGCAUCCAGGACAAAUGGCCUCCAGCUGACCUGAGCAAUAGGAUCACUCUCCUCUUUCUUCUCAUUCAGUUGGGACCAUACAUAGCAACUAUGGUAUGUAUGGUCCCAUGUCAAAGGGCUGUCAUCUUCAGUAUCAUUCUGCUGAGAUGAUGCCAGUUCUGGGGAUUGUGAGGAUGCAGCAUGAAGAAGAGAAGCUGGGGCUGUUUGGAAGAAUAUCACACAGAUGGAGUGCUGCGGAGAGCUUGCAUACAGGCUGGUAUAAAGAGUUAAAUAUGCGUAGGACUGCCAGGCCAAUGAGAUUAAAACAGUACACUUCCCAUGAAAGAGGAGUCAUGUAAGAAAUAUUUAAUUUAAGUGCCACUGAACUAAGCAAAUAGCUCUUCUACAGUAUCACUUCCCACGUGCUUCCAGAUCUUCCAUUCAUUUGCGGUUUCUGUACUCUUCUGACCUAUUGUAAUAAUGGCUGCUUCACCUACCCAAGUGGCUGACUUGCACAAUGGAGAAACAAGCCAAGGAGCAGAAGUCUCAAGCUAGCUGUUCAAUACAGGACUCAACAUAUUCAGCGUGUUUCAGCUGCAGCAGCAGAUUUACCACGGUGUUUCUAAUUGUCUCAUUAUGGUGUAGAUGUGCAAUGUGUCAAAAGAUGAAAAUAUUAAUAGAGAAUAAUGUAUCAUGCUCUAUAAGUAGUUUCUUGUUGCAGAGGACAAAGUUAUGAGCUGAUAAAGUGAAGGUUAGGAUUAAAUCAGCCAUUGCUAAGGAGAUAACUUGAGAGAAGUACAACUUCUUCCUUAAUUCUCUUUUGCUGAUCCUACUCUAACUUGUAAUGAAAGGAUUAGACGACAAGUGUCACCAGUAUUAUUUCUGAUGCUAAAAGAUUGCUAAUAGUAUAAUAGAAGUCUGGGCGGUGAACAUCACAAGAAGAAGGUUAUCUAUAGCAUAGGAUGGAGGGGGAACCUGCUUUUUUAUACCCUGCCAAUCUAAUUACAAAUGCUUCUUGCUCCUUAUAUGCAUCAGCUCUUUGAUUCAGCUGCUAGUUUAUUAGGUAGUGUGCUACACAAAUCUGUCUUUGUCCUUCCUGACCUAAAAAUGUCUGAGAGUGGAUGAUCUAAAGUCAUGUAAAAUCAGUGUGUUUUCUCCCAAAGGAUUGUUGCUAGGCUUUGGGCCAAGCUAAAAAAAUAAAUAAAUGAAUUAGGGAUUUGGUUUUUAUACAUGAGCUGGCAAAAUACACUUUUGAAAUAAAAGCCAGAAAUUUAUUUUCUUCUUCAGGCUCUACCAUGAGAAAGAAUAUAAUUUUUGCUGCCUUAGUUUACCCAGUUUUGUUUCACUAGUGCUUCACAGAGGAGUUGCAAGGCCAAUGCAGUUCAGUGUUUGGGAAAAUCAUUGGAGAUCCCUGAUGAAAGACGCUGUACAACUUACUAUCAUUGUAUUUUUCCUCACAGAUUUAUGAAAAUCAUUUUAAAAUUUUCCUUUCUUUUGUUUGGUAGAAAUAAGAAAUCAUUCACAACUGGCAACAGCUUUACAUGAUACAUACAUGCUAGCUUGCCAUAAAAUGGUUUUUGUUUUUGCAUUCCCCCCCCGCCCCAGAUCAUAUUCAUUUAAUAUGAUCCAUUCUAAACUUUGCAUUUGGGCUUCCUGCAUGAUUAAUUUAAUAAUAUUAAAAAGGUGAUGAAAUGUAAACUUUAUAAAUUUGAGGGAUAAUUAUGUUUCUUAUGUUAAUCAGUGAAGCGAACAAUGAAUAAAACCACAGUGGCCUGAUCAAAGCUGUUACAUAAUUUAAAAUGAGGCCUUUGCUAUCAGGUUGGAAGAAUUAUAUGGAAAAUAGUUGUUAUCUUGAUUUAUAAGCUUUCUGAUGCAUCUUAUCUCUUGCAAGGCUUUUCUCUUGAAGAAUGUUAAGUACACAUUUGUAGUUAAUUUGCUGAUACUGUGCGCACGGGUUAUUACUUUUUCUUAACUUAAAGUUGUGCAGUUCAUUCUUUUCAAUCCUAAAAGGAUAAAUGCUGGGAUUUUCCAAAGGAGCUUAGAGAAUUUAGGGCUAAAUUUUAAAAGGUUCCUGAAGAUUCAGAUAGAUGCCAAAGGGGAUUUUCAGAAGCAUGCAGCUUCACAUUAGAAGAAAUACAGGUGGAUAUUGAAAUUCUUGAAAAUCAUACUGGGUUUGUAUCAGUAGCCUCUAAGUUCCUACAGGUAUUAAAACUGUCUUCUUUGGAUAUGUCUAUUUUAGUAAGUAGUGCAACACAGUAGGAACAGAUUUGCAGAGUGAAAUGAUGCUGAGGAGCUGACAUUCACAUUAUAGAGUUUCUGGCUGUUUUUCUUCAGAUGGGCUGCGGUCCUGCCCGAUAGACUAAAUUCAAAUUAGCAGCUAAAGCGCAUUAAAUGCGUCGCAAGAUCCCCGAAGUACUGCUUGGAAGUCCUCUAGUCCAGUUUCCAGCUCAAUGGAGGACUACUGUCAGCAGGUUCAAUGAUAGCUUUUUUAGACAAGUCUGCAAAGCUGUUAGAAAUGGAGGCUCCACAACUUCUCUAGGGAAAGAAUGCUGCACUACCCAGUGAAAUGUGCUUUACUAGUUCAUUUUGAGCCAUCCAAGCUGCAGCUUUUGGCUGUUGCAUCUUGUGUUGCUGUAGUCCACUACAAAGAAAAAUUAGGCUCUGUGUCUUGUUUCUUGCCUGAGCUGUACACAUUGGUAUGGAAGCGCAUGCAGCAGGAAUGUGCCAUUUCAGCCAUUUCAGCUUUCUCCAUAUGCACCACUUUCCAACUUGUCUUUGGAUGUAGACUCCCAAGUUUAAAGCUGUCAACAAAAGCCUCUACCUUAUACUACUGUGAGAUAGAUGUUAUCCCUGCUACGGAUUAUUUGACUUCUUGCAAGUUCCUCUCAGUUUGGCCCACAGAAUCUUGUCUGAGUGCUCAUUGCCUCAAAGAAAUAUAUCAGAGAAGGAAAAGUGCCUCCCCCUAGUAGAAACUUUGAUGCUUUUUUCCUCCAUCAAGCUUUACUUUUGUUUUUGUCCUUAAUUAGGCUCUUAAUUACUUUCUCUGAAACCACAGCAAGUCUCAUUGCUUUGUAAUUCCCCUGAUCUCCUGUGACUUCUUAUUUUAAAUAUAGAUGGUGUUUUAUGUGAACAGAUUGUUAUCCUCAAAAAUAAUUGCUGUUGUAAAGCCUGUAUUUUGCAUCCUUGUCUAUAUCAACACUGCUUCAAACUUUAUUUCAUUCAAAGUUUUCAAGUGAAUCCAGGUUCUGUACCCUGGAGAGCCUCAAACAUAUUGACUGCUUUCCUGUUCUUGUGCUGUAGUCUUCAUAGUCCUUCUGUACUUACUGGAAAAUAAAUGAAGAAGAUACCUUCCUUUGUUCAUUAGCACUACUUCAUCUGCGGUUAGCACUGGUAUGAAGUAAACAAUGGGCUAGGAAAGCAAUUCCACAAAAUAAAUGAGAAGUGGAAAAAAUCUGCAGUGUUGUCAUCUGGUAGGUGGGUCAAAAACAUCAGCCAGUGAGGGUCAGGCAGAGCCUAAGACAUGUCUCUUCACAAGGUGGCAGAAUCAGACUUUCAGAUACUGUGUCAUUCCCUAUAAAUCAGUUUUAG